GAUGAACGCUGGCGGCGUGCCUAAUACAUGCAAGUCGAGCGAACAGAUGAGGAGCUUGCUCCUCUGACGUUAGCGGCGGACGGGUGAGUAACACGUGGAUAACCUACCUAUAAGACUGGGAUAACUUCGGGAAACCGGAGCUAAUACCGGAUAAUAUAUUGAACCGCAUGGUUCAAUAGUGAAAGACGGUUUUGCUGUCACUUAUAGAUGGAUCCGCGCCGCAUUAGCUAGUUGGUAAGGUAACGGCUUACCAAGGCAACGAUGAGUAGCCGACCUGAGAGGGUGAUCGGCCACACUGGAACUGAGACACGGUCCAAACUCCUCAGGGGGGCAGCGGUAGGGAAUCUUCCGCAAUGGGCGAAAGCCUGACGGAGCAACGCCGCGUGAGUGAUGAAGGUCUUCGGAUCGUAAAACUCUGUUAUUAGGGAAGAACAAAUGUGUAAGUAACUAUGCACGUCUUGACGGUACCUAAUCAGAAAGCCACGGCUAACUACGUG
rnacentral:rRNA from 1 species